rnacentral:tRNA from 1 species
GGAGAGGUGUCCGAGUGGUUUAAGGAGCUGGUCUUGAAAACCAGUGACUCUGAAAGAGGGCCGUGGGUUCGAAUCCCACCCUCUCCGCCA